rnacentral:snRNA from 1 species
GGAUGUGAGGGUGAUCUGGCUGUGACAUCUGUCACCCCAUUGAUCACCAGGGUCUGGCUGGCUAGGUGGGUGUCCCCUUCCUUUCUCGCCACUCCAUGUACAUCUCUCCCCAAGUUGCACACUCUGUCGAAGAGGACAACCAUCCAAGAUAGAGGAGAACCGGUCUUCGGUCAAGGGUUGUAAGAGUAGCUGUGCUCCCCUGUUAGAACCUCCGAGCAAGCUCUCAAGAAAACUAUCAUAAGAUUGAAAUCUCCAAGAUGUGAAAGAGACGAUAUCUAUUUUUCAUCAGAGACAAUAAAAAUUGUU